CUCACAUCCUUUCAUAGUUUCUGUUCCCACAUGGAUUCUGCUUUCCUCUCGACAGCUUCAGCCCCCAUGGACUCUGAUCCCUGCAGGACUCUGCUUCCUCGCUGAGCCCAGCUUGCCUCCAACCUGCCAUAGCCCCACUUGGACUCUUGUCUUCCCCCAUCCCUGGAUAACUGCCGGUCCUCUCUGUCCCAGCUUCCAGAUUCCCCAUGCCUGCCUUCCUUGGCUCCUUAGUUCUGUUUCCCCUGGGUUCCCCCAGCAGAGGAGAACAGGGACACCAUCCAUGGAGCCACCCAUUUCCUGGUUGUAUUCCCCGCUGAGGGUUCCUGUGGGUUCCUGUUCAAAAGACUACUUGGUCACACACAUAUACCGUAAGAGUCGCGUGGCGACCAGACGCCUGCUUCUAAAGGAACACUUGUCUUUUGCCAGGAUGUGACAUGGGGAAGAGAAAGUAAAGGAGUAAAGUGAAGGAGAUGGAUGUGUGCUCUGAAGAAUAGUCUGACUUCUUAACCUGAAAGUCUGACAGUUCAGUUUUCAAGAUUGCCACAGAAGGAUUGUUAAAAAUAUGAACUCUCCAGAUCCAGGAAACAUUCUAACAGUUUUUGAAUAAUAAGUCAGACAAAAGGAACCUUUCAACUGUGUGAGGGGGGGAAAAAA
ensembl:lncRNA